rnacentral:rRNA from 1 species
GACGAACGCUGGCGGCGUGCUUAACACAUGCAAGUCGAACGAAGAGCGAUGGACGCUUGCUUCUAUCAAUCUUAGUGGCGCACGGGUGAGUAACGCGUAAUCAACCUGCCCUUCAGAGGGGGACAACAGUGGGAAACGACUGCUUAUACCGCAUACGAUCUAAUCUCGGCAUCGAGGAUAGAUGAAAGGUGGCCUCGACAUGUAAGCUAUCACUGAAGGAGGGGAUUGCGUCUGAUUAGCUAGUUGGAGAGGUAACCGCCGAACAAGGGGAUGAUCAGUAGGCGGUCUGGGGGGAUGGACCGCCACCAUGGGAACGGAAAAACGCCCAGGACCCUAAGGGGAGGAGCAGGGAGGGAUCUUCCGCAAUGGACGAAAGUCUGAAGGGGCAACGCCGGGGGAGGGAUGACGGCCUUCCGGUUGUAAAGCUCUGUUAAUCGGGAAGAAAGGCAUUCUUGCGAAUAGAGAGAAGGAUUGACGGUACCGAAAUAGAAAGCCACGGCUAACUACGUG